AAGGUCUUACUGUAUAAAUUUAUCAUGGGCAUGUGUUGGAUCCUGAGGUCGUUUGCUUAAUGUCAUUUACCCUUCACUUUUGCUCUCCUUUUUUUAUCAGUAUAUCUAACGUUUUGUCUAUAUUAUUUUGUGUUAGAAUGUUAAACUGAAGAGAGCGAUUAAGAACAAAGGCUGUUUUGAUCUCCUUCAAACCCUAAAGAAAAAGAAAAAGUCCCGAGGGAAGGAUCUUGACGAGAACGGUGAGCAUAGCUAGUCUUCUGUUAUUAAUUUAUUAUGCAUAUUUUUUCAAUAUCUUUAGUCAUAGUAUUCUGCUGGUGUUUGCAGGGACACUAAUUGAUCAGUUCCUUAGUCAUCAUAGCCCUUAUAGGUAUGCAUGCUUAGAUAGGGGUAAAGGACCAGGCAAUGUGAGACUCUUUCAUUAACAAUUGUUCUUUUAUCGGCAGUGUUUCAUGUUUGAUCAAGAGAAUAAGCGAAGUUCUGGAAGAGAGAUCAAAGCAUGCUUCUGUAUUCUAUUGGGGAAGAAAAUUUAGCACCAUCAC
rnacentral:lncRNA from 1 species